AACUGCAUCAGGGUGUAUUCAUGUUGUUCACCUAAGGUUGGUGGCCUGUUCCCUAAGCCUCCAGCUUAAGAGGCUGGUCUGCGAGAAGAUGAAAACUGCUCUUGAUUAUGUCAUGCCGAGCUCCGACAGCGCUUUCCGUGACUGUUUUGUGUCUGAAUCUCCUCUCUCACUUCUGUUCUUGUUCCCUGUCACUUUAUUCCUGAGAGUAACUGUAAGGUGAAAAGAUGACUUGGUGAGGACUGGUCUUUCCCAUGGACUGCUCCAGCAGCACACCAUUGCAUUCUUUAUCGUAACUGUCUGGGAUUCACAAAUCAGCAUAGUGGUUAACUAAUUUACUUGUAAGGAAAUGUGUGCAAACUACUUUCUUACUUGUAGGAUGUGCUGGAGCCUACAUCAUGGUUGCAUCAGAGUAUCACGUGCUCCAUCCCCAAAAAAAGGGCCUUUUUGAAUAAGAUGGGUUGAAGACCCUGAUUUUGACUUGCCUUGAACACCACCUUGUGGUACUGUUCUGUAGUUGUGGCCUGUUUCCCAUGGGACUGGGUGGGCGUUUGCUUGCACUGCCCUGGCUCCUGGAAUAAUGUUUCUUGGGAUAUUCAAAUUGUGCUGUGUGUUCACGGUCACAGAUGCUCUAAAUCAAGCUCUGUCAGCUGACCAUGGUCCGUAUGGACUGCAUGGGCUGGCUAUGGCCCUCAGGCAUAGCUCCUUCCUCUAAUGGUCUAUCCUGUCAGUCUCCUGCUCUAACAUGUAGGGCCUCCACUGGUCUUGUUGACAAAUAAUGUCAUGGUGGGGUUACACUUCCUCUGUUACUUGCUGAUUUUCUUACUAAAUGUAGCAUUUCAAUCAGAUCUAAUUCUUACAUUUUGAGAUAACUGUAAAAAGAGUGAAAUUAUGAAAUGGCCAAUAUCUUUUAUCAGUCUAUUCUUUUGGAAGCUGUCAUGCACUAUACAUUGUGUACAGUUAAAAGUAUAUAUAUAUAUAUAUUCUUACUGAGUGAACGCCUCCUCUCCCCACGCCUGUAUGUCACUAGCAUCUAAGGAGAAUGCUCAAGGCCCAGUGCUGCUGCUGCUGUGGUUUAUAUGGGUUUUGUUCUGUUUUGUUUUUGUGUGGUAAAUUGAUAUUUAAAAACAACAAAAACCACGACUACUGUUUACAGACUGAAAAAAAACAAUCACUGCUUUUUAUACUACUGAGAUCCUAAGUCAAGACUUUGCAAAGCAGGAAUCGGGUUCAAGUUACUUCUUUGCUGUGGACGGAUAGUCCUCUGUAGUAUCUCCACAUGAUGGAGAGUGCACAAACCUAGGUGUGCUGCCAUCAAUUUUGUAUAUUUUCAUAAUUUUAAUUGUUCGAAAUUGCAUUAUAUUUUGCAAUCACCACAUUCAAUCUGUAUAUGUCUUUCAUUUCAACUUUUUCAAUACAAAAAGGGAUUCAAUUU
rnacentral:lncRNA from 1 species